AGUGAACGCUGGCGGUAGGCCUAACACAUGCAAGUCGAACGGCAGCACAGUAAGAGCUUGCUCUUACGGGUGGCGAGUGGCGGACGGGUGCGUAAUACAUCGGAAUCUACUUUUUCGUGGGGGAUAACGUAGGGAAACUUACGCUAAUACCGCAUACGACCUACGUGUGAAAGCAGGGGAUCUUCGGACCUUGCGCGAUUGAAUGAGCCGAUGUCGGAUUAGCUAGUUGGCGGGGUACAGGACCACCAAGGCGACGAUCCGUAGCUGGUCUGAGAGGAUGAUCCGCCACACUGGAACUGAGACACGGUCCAGACUCCUACGGGAGGCAGCAGUGGGGAAUAUUGGACAAUGGGCGCAAGCCUGAUCCAGCCAUACCGCGUGGGUGAAGAAGGCCUUCGGGUUGUAAAGCCCUUUUGUUGGGAAAGAAAAGCAGCAGGUUAAUACCCCGCUGUUCUGACGGUACCCAAAGAAUAAGCACCGGCUAACUUCGUG
rnacentral:rRNA from 1 species